rnacentral:lncRNA from 1 species
UGAUUAAAUCACGCAACUAGCCUUGGCUAGGUCGAAGGGGUGCCUUGGAUUUUUAUCCUUGCCUUCCCCUUCGUCAAAUGUGACUCCCGAACAUUUUUCGUUGGUUUACGUGGACUAGGAGUCGUUUAAAAGGGGUUUCUUACUACUUUUUCCUAUUUUUCUUUAAAAAUUCAUUUUUAGGUGACUUGGUACACCUUAACUCAUUACCAAGUGGUGACUCCGAUUUUUUAUUUUCAAAAAACCCUUUUUAAACUAUAAUUUUGGGUCAAAUCGUCGCAUUCUCAAAACCCCAUUGAGGCCCACUUUUCUUUUAAAUCAAAAUUCAUUUUCCAACCACAAAUUGAAUCAAAAAAAUACAUUUUUAAACCAUUUAUUUAUCAAAAAAUGGGGCGCGACAACUCCCUCCGUCCCACUUUGAUAGUCCCAUUUUUUUUUUCACACAGUUUAAGAAAAAGUAGUUAACUUUGUUGGAAAAGUAAAUUUAGAUUACUAUUUUCCUAAAAUACCCUCACAUUAAAUAUGGUACAACUUUAUGGGAACUUGAAUUGAUGGUAAAAAAAGAAUCAACUCUCAUUAAAUGGGGUAGGUUUAUAGUAAUAACAACUUACAUUGAAUAAGGGUAUUUUAGGAAAAUUAAAAUACAACUACAUUCUUCAAUUGGAAAGUGGACUAUAAUUUGGGACAGACGAAAAAGGAAAACGAGACUAUUCAAGUGGGACGGAGGGAGUAGUACUUAUUGUUGGUUGCAUGUAUGUGUGUUGUACAUUGUGCAAAAGUUUUUGUGAGACUUGAUUGUUUGCCUGUUUUUUUCCCUAUGUUAUUAAAAUCAAAAUUAUCCGAUAAUGGUGGACAGACAUUAUGACGGUGUAUUGGGAUGAUGACAACAUGAAUUUUGGUUUGACCGAGUGUUUAAUGUGUAGGCAUUUAAGUGAUUAUCUGUCAUUGUUUUUACUCUUGCACAACUCUAAUCAUCUAUCCCCAGUUCUUCUUUUCCGCCUUCCCUUUAUUUUUUUUCCUUUGGAAAGGAGCGGUCCACCAUUUGUGACCCCUCCAUAAACAACUAGCACUAUGAAUAUCAAUUGAGAAGUUCCACAUUUAAAAAAAAAAAAAGAAAAAGCAAAAAAAAUGAGAGGUUCCAUGAACACAGACCAACCAAAUGGCCCCUAUGUAGCAUGUCGAAAAAUCAACUCGAGCAGCCCUCUUUGAUUGAAUUUUGUUUCUUUUGGAGUUAUAUAGUCUUAUAUUAUUACAGUUAAAGUUAAAAUUCUAAUCCAACAGUAGUGUAUAUUUAUUUUACACACAAAACUGUGGUCGGUUCGAGUAACUAUUGCCUCUAUUUCUUUUUCUUUGAUUCAUUCUUCAAUUGUUAAAUGUCAACUGUUGCAAUGUAUUCAUUUGUCUAAGCUUCUAUUUUUUAUGAAUUUUGAGGUUUUGUCGGUAGAUUAGAUUUUUAUUGAUUCUUGGUAUGUUCAAGGAUGCGUAUUCUGAAGUUUUUGUGUUGUGAUAUUAUAAAUCUAUACUCAUUUUUUGGUUGUGGUUUACUUGACAUUUCUAAUUUGCUUACUCCAAUACUUCAAUUCCUGUACUAUAUUCAGGUUAUAAAGACAGUUGGAGCUUCGGGAUAUCUCAAGCCCUUUCAAUUUCAACAUUUUAUUAACGUACCCUCAAUUUGUU